AUUGAACGCUGGCGGCAGGCUUAACACAUGCAAGUCGAGCGGGGAAAAGUAGCUUGCUACUGGACCUAGCGGCGGACGGGUGAGUAAUGCUUAGGAAUCUGCCUAUUAGUGGGGGACAACAUCUCGAAAGGGAUGCUAAUACCGCAUACGUCCUACGGGAGAAAGCAGGGGACCUUCGGGCCUUGCGCUAAUAGAUGAGCCUAAGGCGGAUUAGCUAGUUGGUGGGGUAAAGGCCUACCAAGGCGACGAUCUGUAGCGGGUCUGAGAGGAUGAGACGCCACACUGGGACCGAGACACGGCCCAGACUCCUACGGGAGGCAGCAGUGGGGAAUAUUGGACAAUGGGGGGAACCCUGAUCCAGCCAUGCCGCGUGUGUGAAGAAGGCCUUUUGGUUGUAAAGCACUUUAAGCGAGGAGGAGGCUACCGAGAUUAAUACUCUUGGAUAGUGGACGUUACUCGCAGAAUAAGCACCGGCUAACUCUGUGCCAGCAGCCGCCGUAACAC
rnacentral:rRNA from 1 species